AUCGCCGCCAUAGUCGUGGGGCUUCUGGGGCUGCUGGGGCUGCCCGCCGCGCUGCCUGCGCCGGACCGGAGCGGGUCCAGUCCCGGGCGCGCCGCCGCGGGAGAGAAAUAACAUCUGCUUUGCUGCCGAGCUCAGAGGAGAUCCCAGACUCUUCCCACAGCCAGAGGGCUGGAGCCUGCUCAGAGGUGCUUUGAAGAUGCUGGAGGCCCCGCCUCUGCUGCUGGCAGCUGUGUUGCUGGGCCUGGUGCUGCUGGUGGUGCUGCUGCUGCUCCUGAGGCACUGGGGCUGGGGCCUGUGCCUUAUUGGCUGGAACGAGUUCGUCCUGCAGCCCAUCUACAACCUGCUCAUGGGUGACACCAAGGAGCAGCGCAUCCUGCACCACGUGCUGCAGCAUGCGGAGCCCGGGAAUGCAGAGAGUGUGCUGGAGGCCAUCGACACCUACUGCGAGCAGAAGGAGUGGGCCAUGAACGUGGGCAAGAAGAAAGGUGGGAUCCGGGCCGGCAGGUGCUGAGCUCUGGGACAGGGACCCAGGACCAGGCAUCAAAG
rnacentral:sRNA from 1 species